rnacentral:rRNA from 1 species
AGGAAGGCAGCAGUGGGGAAUAUUGCACAAUGGGCGCAAGCCUGAUGCUGCAACGCCGCGUGAAGGAAGACGGUUUUCGGAUUGUAAACUUCUGUUCUUAGUGAAGAAAUAUGACGGUAGCUAAGGAGCAAGCCACGGCUAACUACGUGCCAGCAGCCGCGGUAAUACGUAGGUGGCAAGCGUUGUCCGGAAUUACUGGGUGUAAAGGGGGCGCAGGCGGGAGAUCAAGUCAGCUGUGAAAUCCAUGGGCUCAACCCAUGAACUGCAGUUGAAACUGUUCUUCUUGAGUGAAGUAGAGGUUGGCGGAAUUCCGAGUGUAGCGGUGAAAUGCGUAGAUAUUCGGAGGAACACCGGUGGCGAAGGCGGCCAACUGGGCUUUUACUGACGCUGAGGCCCGAAAGUGUGGGGAGCAAACAGGAUUAGAUACCCUGGUA